UACGUAGGGUGCAAGCGUUGUCCGGAAUUAUUGGGCGUAAAGAGCUCGUAGGCGGUCUGUCGCGUCUGCUGUGAAAACUCAGGGCUUAACCCUGAGCUUGCAGUGGGUACGGGCAGACUAGAGUGCGGUAGGGGAGACUGGAAUUCCUGGUGUAGCGGUGAAAUGCGCAGAUAUCAGGAGGAACACCGAUGGCGAAGGCAGGUCUCUGGGCUGUAACUGACGCUGAGGAGCGAAAGCAUGGGGAGCGAACAGG
rnacentral:rRNA from 1 species